rnacentral:tRNA from 1 species
GGGUCGUUAGCUCAGUUGGUAGAGCAGUUGAUUUUUAAUCAAUUGGUCGCGGGUUCGAAUCCUGCACGACCCACCA